GAGGUUUCUGGCUGACUCGGUGGGUGCUUUGAACCAGGAAAGGACAAGAAAGAGAAGAUCAGGUUCAAGGAGCCAGCCAGACUCUGGGCUUCAAGGAGGAGUAGGCUGUGGAUGGCCUGGCCUCAUUUGCAUGUCCCUCUC
rnacentral:lncRNA from 1 species